CCUACGGGUGGCAGCAGUGAGGAAUAUUGGUCAAUGGACGAAAGGCUGAACCAGCCAAGUCGCGUGAAGGAUGACUGCCCUAUGGGUUGUAAACCUCUUUUAUAUGGGAAGAAAAUAUUCUACGUGUAGCAUUAUGUAUGUACCUUAUGAAUAAGCAUCGGCUAACUCCGUGCCAGCAGCCGCGGUAAUACGGAGGAUGCGAGCGUUAUCCGGAUUUAUUGGGUUUAAAGGGUGCGUGGGCGGUUGUUUAAGUUAGUGGUAAAAUGUCGGGGCUAAACCUUGAUUUGCCGUUGAUACUGGAAGACUCGAGUUCAGUAGAGGUAGGCGGAAUUAGUUGUGUAGCGGUGAAAUGCUUAGAUAUAACGUAGAACUCCGAUAGCGAAGGCAGCUUACCGGACUGCGACUGACGCUGAGGCACGAGAGCGUGGGUAGCGAACAGGAUUAGAUACCCGAGUAGUC
rnacentral:rRNA from 1 species